rnacentral:tRNA from 1 species
GGAGUUGUGGCUCAGUGGUAGAGCACUUGCCUAGCACACAUGAGGCACUGAGUUCAAUCCUCAGCACCA